UGACGUGUAGCUCAGAUGGCAGAGCGCCCGACUGUUAAUCGGGUUGUCGGUGGUUCGAGCCCACCCAUGUCAGC
rnacentral:tRNA from 1 species